rnacentral:tRNA from 1 species
GGGCGAGUGGCGGAAUUGGUAUACGCGCACGACUCAAAAUCGUGUUCCGCAAGGAUUGUGGGUUCGAUUCCCACCUCGCCCA